rnacentral:tRNA from 1 species
GGGGUUGUGGCUCAGCAGGUAGAGUGUUCACCUUGCACAUGCGAGAACCUGGGUUUGAUCCUCAGCAUCACAU